CAGAACCUUGCCCGCAGCUGUUUCGCCACACUCAAUUACAACAAACAAACCUCUUGCAGGCUGUGUUCAAUAACUACAGGCAGAUGCAUGGUGAGAUGCCAGAGGACGCUUUGAAUAGGAAUCCUCACAGCUGGUCUUCUCUACGUUGCAUGUUCAGCUGCAAACUGGGCAUCUCUCAAACAACUGCAGCAAGGAGUCCUCAUAAACAAUAUACUUCCUCAACUUAUGAGGUGGUGUUGACUAGCAGGGCCUGUGACAGAGUGAUACAAUCGACAGCCAAGUGGUGAAUUGCAUUUUGUUAUCAAGAAAGAACCAAGCUUUUUGAUAAUGCACUUCACAACCGAAAUGUCUCUACUACUUGUAUCUGCUUGGCUGGUUAAUGAAUCUACUAGUUCAUCAAACCGGGUAACUUUCAAACAACUUUUCACAUAACAGCUUCAUUAACAAUGGUGUGUCUGUCAUCAGGGCAGUGACUCGGGUCACUGUCAGAGGCCUCAUGAUGGCGUGUCCUUUUCACAGGAGUCAAGGGAGACACUGGCAACAACGGAGGUGGUGUCACAGGGGUAUUUGUGUCGCAUGAUACUUAUUCUGAGCUUGUCUGACAAGCUGUGAAAAGUGAAUUAAAUUAUAUUUGGAGGUCACUAAACCAUUGCAAUCACAUUGCCUGACAUGUUAUGAUACCCCUCUUUGCUCCUUCUGGUAGGUCCCAGCAUCUGUUCAUGACCAGGGAUCCAACUGUGCACUUUGUCUUAAAGAAAAACAGGGUCAAUGAUUGUCAUCAUCCCUCAAUUAAAAAUAGAUCUUGAGAAAUAACCGUCUAGUUUGGAAGCUAAUUCUGUGCUUUACAGAUGUAGACUGACUGGCUCCAGAUUGGAUUAGAUUCAGGCUGGUGACGACGAUGCUGGUGACGACGAUACACUAUGCAACCAACUGUGACAUGUUUUGCUAAUGCCAUGGGUUGGUUUGGGUUUGUUGCUGCUACUUAGUACCAUAGAGAUCCUAUUAAAUUACUAGAGGAGCUGUGUCAUCAACCCUCAAAGUUCCAGAAUGGGGUGAAAAUGGCAGCCAUAUUGGUCAGGGAGAAAUCCAAACCAGUCUAAUUGGAAUUAAAGGCAGUAGAGCAAUAAUCCAGAUUUUACAAGUGGGAAAAGUUUGUAAGUGGGAAAAUCUGCAAAAUCGGCAGUGUAUC
rnacentral:lncRNA from 1 species